CCUGCAUAAGAAUAUAAUAUUGUCAAUGAGAACAUAUAGUAACUGAUUAAUAAACCUAAUAAGUAGGAGAUAGCAUAGGCUUAUAUAUUAAUGCGUUUGCAUGAAGAAAUUGUGCAACUUGUAUUGAUUUGCAUUUAGACAAAUCAUUUUUAAGAAUUUUAGUUUGGCUUAAUUACCUUAGAUUUGAUGUUGUUGUUUCUUAGUGAUGGUAGGGAGGAGGUGGAGACUUGUAAACCGGAGUUGGUGGUGGUGGAGACUUGUAUACUGGUGCAGGAUGGUGUGGUGUUGGUGAAGGAUGGUAUGGAUUCACUGGUGGUGGUGACUUGUAAACGGGUGUUGGUGGUGGUGGAGAUUUGUAUACUGGUGCAGGGUGGUAUGACUUCACUGGUGGUGGUGGUGACUGGUAAACGGGUGUUGGUGGUGGUGGAGACUUAUAAACUGGUGCAGGAUGAUAUGGCUUCACUGGUGAUGGUGGUGACUUGUAAACGGGUGUUGGUGGUGGUGGAGACUUAUAAAUUGGUGUGGGAUGAUAUGGUGUUGGUGGAGGAUAGUAUGGCCUCUUAGGUGGUGGUGGUGACUUGUAAACUGGAGUUGGUGGUGGUGGCGACUUGUACACUGGAGUGUGUGGCGGGUAGUAUGGCUUUUUGGGUGGUGGUGGGGACUUGUAAACUGGAGUUGGGGGUGGUGGAGACUUGUAAACUGGGGUGUGUGGAGGGUAGUGUGGUGGUGACUUGUAAACUGGAGUCGGGGGUGGUGGAGACUUGUAAACUGGGGUGUGUGGAGGAUAAUGUGGCUUCUUUGGUGGUGGUGGGGACUUGUAAACUGGAGUGUGUGGAGGAUAGUGUGGCUUCUUCGGUGGUGGUGGUGACUUGUAAACAGGAGUUGGUGGUGGUGGCGACUUGUGAACUGGUGCGGGAUGAUAAGGUGUUGGUGAAGGGUGGUAUGGCUUCUUAGGUGGUGGUGGAGAUUUGUAAACAGGAUGAUGAUGGUGUGGUGGAGGGGACUUAUAUACUGGGUGGUGAUG
rnacentral:lncRNA from 1 species